rnacentral:rRNA from 1 species
UACGAAGGGGGCUAGCGUUGCUCGGAAUCACUGGGCGUAAAGCGCACGUAGGCGGCUUUCUAAGUCAGGGGGUGAAAUCCUGGAGCUCAACUCCAGAACUGCCUUUGAUACUGGAGAGCUUGAGUCCGGGAGAGGUGAGUGGAACUCCGAGUGUAGAGGUGAAAUUCGUAGAUAUUCGGAAGAACACCAGUGGCGAAGGCGGCUCACUGGCCCGGUACUGACGCUGAGGUGCGAAAGCGUGGGGAGCAAACAGG